rnacentral:rRNA from 1 species
AGUGGCGGACGGGUGAGUAACGCGUGGGAACAUGCCUAUUAGUUGGGGACAACCUGUGGGAAACGCAGGCUAAUACCGAAUACGUUCUACGGAAUAAAAGGUGGGCCACUCCUUGGAAGCUAUCGCUAAUAGAUUGGCCCGCGUUGGGAUUAGCUAGUUGGUGGGGGUAAAAGCCUACCAAGGGGGACGAUCCAUAGCUGGGUUUGAGAGGGAUGAUCAGCCACACUGGGGACUGAGACACGGCCCCAGACUCCUACGGGGAGGGCAGCNAGUGGGGGAAUAUUGGGACUAAUGGGGCGCAAAGCCUGAUCCCAGCAAAUGCCCGCGUGUGUGAAAGAAGGGCCCCGAGGGGUUGUAAAAGCACUUUCAAUCGUGAAGAAAGGGGCAUAAAAGUUAAUAACUUUGUGCAUUGACGUUAACGAUAGAAGGAAGCACCGGCUAACUCUGUGCCAGCAGCCGCGGUAAUACAGAGGGUGCAAGCGUUAAUCGGAAUUACUGGGCGUAAAGCGCGCGUAGGAGGUUUGAUAAGUUGGAUGUGAAAUCCCCGGGCUUAACCUGGGUCGGUCAUCCAAAACUGUCAGACUAGAGUAUGGUAGAGGGUAGUGGAAUUCCUAGUGUAGCGGUGAAAUGCGUAGAUAUUAGGAGGAAUCCAGUGGCGAAGGCGACUGCCUGACUGAUACUGACACUGAGGUGCGAAAGCGUGAUAGCGAACAGAUUAGAUACCC